UACGGAGGGAGCUAGCGUUGUUCGGAAUUACUGGGCGUAAGGCGCGCGUAGGCGGCCUUGCAAGUUAGAGGUGAAAGCCCGGAGCUCAACUCCGGAACUGCCUUUAAAACUGCAUAGCUUGAAUCCGGGAGAGGUGAGUGGAAUUCCGAGUGUAGAGGUGAAAUUCGUAGAUAUUCGGAAGAACACCAGUGGCGAAGGCGGCUCACUGGACCGGUAUUGACGCUGAGGUGCGAAAGCGUGGGGAGCAAACAGG
rnacentral:rRNA from 1 species